rnacentral:rRNA from 1 species
UACGUAGGCAGCAAGCGUUGUUCGGAGUUACUGGGCGUAAAGGGUGCGUAGGUGGCUCUAUAAGUAUGGUGUGAAAUCUCCCGGCUUAACUGGGAGGGUGCGCCGUAGACUGUGGGGCUAGAGUGUGGGAGAGGAAAGUGGAAUUCCUGGUGUAGCGGUGAAAUGCGUAGAUAUCAGGAGGAACACCUGUGGCGAAGGCGGCUCACUGGACCACAACUGACGCUGAGGCGCGAAAGCUAGGGGAGCAAACAGG